rnacentral:tRNA from 1 species
GUCGGCGUAGCUCAGACAGUUAGAGCGGAGGACUCAUAAGCCUCAGGUCACAGGUGCGACUCCUGUCGCCGACA